rnacentral:rRNA from 1 species
UACAGAGGGUGCGAGCGUUGUUCGGAAUUAUUGGGCGUAAAGGGCGCGUAGGCGGCGCCACAAGUCACUUGUGAAAACUCUGGGCUCAACCCAGAGCCUGCAGGCGAAACUGUGGUGCUGGAGUAUGGGAGAGGUGCGUGGAAUUCCCGGUGUAGUGGUGAAAUGCGUAGAGAUCGGGAGGAACACCUGUGGCGAAGGCGGCCGGCUGGGGGUGCCCUGACGCUGAGGCGCGAAAGCGUGGGGAGCGAACCGG